rnacentral:rRNA from 1 species
GACGAACGCUGGCGGCGUGCUUAACACAUGCAAGUCGAACGGAAAGGCCCUGCUUUUGUGAGGUGCUCGAGUGGCGAACGGGUGAGUAACACGUGAGUAACCUGCCCUUGACUUUGGGAUAACUUCAGGAAACUGGGGCUAAUACCGGAUAGGAGCUCCUGCUGCAUGGAGGGGGUUGGAAAGUUUCGGCGGUUGGGGAUGGACUCGCGGCUUAUCAGCUUGUUGGUGGGGUAGUGGCUUACCAAGGCUUUGACGGGUAGCCGGCCUGAGAGGGUGACCGGCCACAUUGGGACUGAGAUACGGCCCAGACUCCUACGGGAGGCAGCAGUGGGGAAUAUUGCACAAUGGGCGGAAGCCUGAUGCAGCAACGCCGCGUGCGGGAUGACGGCCUUCGGGUUGUAAACCGCUUUCGCCUGUGACGAAGCGUGAGUGACGGUAAUGGGUAAAGAAGCACCGGCUAACUACGUG